rnacentral:rRNA from 1 species
UAGGGAAUCUUCGGCAAUGGACGAACGUCUGCCCGAGCAACGCCGCGUGAGUGAAGAAGGUUUUCGGAUCGUAAAACUCUGUUGUUAGAGAAGAACAAGGACGUUAGUAACUGAACGUCCCCUGACGGUAUCUAACCAGAAAGCCACGGCUAACUACGUGCCAGCAGCCCCGGUAAUACGUAGGUGGCAAGCGUUGUCCGGAAUUAUUGGGCGUAAAGCGAGCGCAGGCGGUUUCUUAAGUCUGAUGUGAAAGCACCCGGCUCAACCGGGGAGGGUCAUUGGAAACUGGGAGACUUGAGGGCAGAAGAGGAGAGUGGUAUUCCAAGGGUAGCGGUGAAAUGCGUAGAUAGAUGGAGGAACACCAGUGGAGAAGGCGGCUCUCUGGUGUGUUACUGACGCUGAGGCUCGACAGCGGGGGGAGCAAACAGG